UCAUCUUCGGGGGUAGAGCACUGUUUCGGCUAGGGGGUCAUCCCGACUUACCAACCCGAUGCAAACUACGAAUACCGAAGAAUGUUAUCACGGGAGACACACGGCGGGUGCUAACGUCCGUCGUGAAGAGGGAAACAACCCAGACCGCCAGCUAAGGUCCCAAAGUCAUGGUUAAGUGGGAAACGAUGUGGGAAGGCACAGACAGCCAGGAUGUUGGCUUAGAAGCAGCCAUCAUUUAAAGAAAGCGUAAUAGCUCACUGGUCGAGUCGGCCUGCGCGGAAGAUGUAACGGGGCUAAACCAUGCACCGAAGCUGCGGCAGCGACACUAUGUGUUGUUGGGUAGGGGAGCGUUCUGUAAGCCUG
rnacentral:rRNA from 1 species